AGGCUUUGCCGCCUUCAAGUAUAAAUUUUGUUCCACUCAAGCAGGAGAAGAAUUUCAGAGCUGAUGAGCUGAUGGAGUUUUACAAAUCAGAUUUGAAACUGGAAAAGCUUUUGCACAUAAUUGAGAACUCACCAGUGUUCCCUGUGUUGUAUGACAGUAC